CGUGUAGUUUUAGAUAUCUGACAUUUAAAUCGUGCAUAAAUGAUCAGUAUUCAGGUUCAGAUGUACUUAAUUGUAAAAUAGUUUUACAUCAGAUUGCUUCAUAUUUGUUUGUGGCACCUGAGAGUCCUCAAAAGUUACACACAAAUCAUUGCACACAUUUCUAAAUCUUUGUUUACGCUCAUGAAUAAUAUCAUACUCGUUUGCAAUUCUUCUGAGGUAAAUUCUCUCCAUACUUUCUCAUUGUUUUCUCUCAGCCUUUCAGCUCCACUUUUCUGGGUGAGCGCACAGCAAAGGUAGAGAUGGGGCCGGUCACAUUAAGACAGUUGAUUAUGCAAUACAGUGUCAGAAAUGAAAAUCAACAAAUGGGCUGCUGCCAUUGCUUGCACGGCUGGUGCGCAGUAGGGCUGCCACGAUUUGUCGACUAGUCACGAUUACGUCGACUAUCAAAAUCGUCGACGACUGAUUUAAUAGUCGACGCGUCGUUUGAAGCUUUGUAAGAUCGCAAAAGACGCAGGAAUAAUAGCAGGAUUUAAGAGUGUAAUAACGGACUGAAACAGAAGAUGGCAGCACUGCAUGUACAAGGAUGCCAGCUGCCGUUAAACCCCGAAGAAGAAGAAGCAGCUGUGUCCCAGAAUUCAUAGCGCGGCCCAGCUUAGUUUCCAACAAUGGCGGUAGCUAGUUAGUUUUAAUAUUACUCUUAUUAUUCUUUCUGGGUCACAAAAUAAACGUUUAACAUAUUUUCAGGCGAGAAUGUAGCUGUGUAAACCUCAAAUAUCGGCUCAGUUUAUCAGGACACCACAUAUUUUCAAAAGCGCUCCGACAUUUUCGGAGACGUCUGUUACCCACUAGCUCGAUAGCUAGCCGGGGGCUAGGUCACUAGCGCUGUGAGAACACCGGACUCCAGGCAAAUUGUUUUCAAACCCACCGCCGUCUUUCGCUACUCAGGUUAAAUAUAUAUGAGUCACUUAGAUAAAUUAAAAAUGUUGUUGUUUGGCUUUUUUUUUUUUUAGUAUUUUAUUUGUUCUUGAGUAAAUCAGUUUGUCUGAGAUUAAAGUUAUAGUUUUUACACAGCUGAAUAAACGUCAAGCAGACAGCUGAUUAUCAGAAGUGUGAGAUGCUCCAGAAUAUACUCCAGUGUCCUGUUAUAUUUUAGAUAGCAAGGAGUUUAUUAAACUUCACCGAAACAAUCUGCAAAUUUCAUUAAAAUUGAAUAAACUAUCAUCUUGUCUUUAUUUUUAGUUAGCACCUUAAAAGCUUAAAGCUGUAAGCUAAUGAUAGUUAUGUAAGAGCAGAUGCUGCUGGUGCAAUAAGCUGUAGUUUUACGUCCAGUGGAUGAUGAUCUGAUUAGUCGACUAAUCGCAUAAAUAAUCGGUGACUAGUCGACUAUCAAAAUAAUCGUUUGUGGCAGCCCUAGUGCGCAGUGAAAAUAACUGGUUUGUUAGAUUACCACAUAACAAAAAACCCCUCAAUUCUUAGGAAAUAGAUUCAUUUCUUUGUACUAAAAGAAGAUCAGUUGUACCUUUCAGCCUCUCUUCUCUUUGGUGAUAUUCAUCCGUAUCAGCUGACAUCUUCUGUUCUCACUGCUGAGCAGACUGCAGCUCAUCACUCUCUGCACAAGAAAAGCCACAAAAAAUCAAUCAGGUUGGAAAAAACAACCAAAAAGAAGAGUUUCAUUAAUAAUGAGGUCUUUAUUUCCUGUGUAGAAUUGCAAAGAUAUUUCUUGGAAACUAACUGGCAGAAGGUCUCAGCAGCGCUGUGGGCCACUGUGGAUAUUGUGGACAAACUCACGACCAUAUUUGUUGUUAGCGCCACAAGAAUUAGGAAACACACACUUUGCCAAAAACUACAAAACAGAGCUAUAUAUUUGCUGUAUAUAUUGUCUCAUGCUAUUUGCACACCAUCAAGUAAGAUCCCAGAAUCAGGUCUGAAGAACAGUCAGGAGAUCAGGGGUCAGUUAUGACUAUACAUGUGUGAUAUGCAUGAGUAAGCAAUAGUGUCCUCCAAAGAUCAAAUGACAUCCACCUCUGAUUCAUUAAGUUCAACACAGCAUAAUUAGACACAUUCAAACACACGGAAACACAUAAAGACUCAUGCAUCAUCAUCGACUGGAAGCUUGGUGAUUUGAUUACAGAAAGUAUCCUUGCCCAGUGGGCCGAUGUUUUUAUGGGCCGAUGGAUUUUUUUUUUUUUUUUUUUUUUUUUAGGAAGGGUAUAUAUAAUGAAAGGUGUUGGAUUGGCCAAUUGGUCAUGAUCGACUCUGGGCUGGACCAAUUACAGCCGAGGAGGCCGGAUGGACCCUCCCCCUUGUUUAGCAAUCACGUUUUCGCGCAUUGCAUGCCGGGAACUAGUGGCAAAACAAUCCAAGUACCGCAUCAAAUGCAAGCAUUUGCAGCACCGCAAAACGUUCAUUCUCCGGUUCCAAUACCUUCUUGCUUUUUCUUUGGCGCACAAAAAAGGUAUGUACAAAACAAAAGGAGAACAAUGCCGGUCCGUACAAAGACAGACUCGACGAAAAGACAAAGAAAAGAUGCGAGGAAAAAUCAAAGGAGUGAAAGGGUCAGACCCUUAGGAGCACACAGAGUGGACAAAAGACGUUAGCGUGUUGCCCAACUUUCACCACGCUCAGAUUUAUAAUUAUACGGUUCUUGGAGUGAGUGCAUACACUCAUGAAGUUUAGUAACUUCAGGUCACUGCAACAAGCCCAGGUACAGUUUACCGACGGAUGGGUGCAGGACCUUGAAAUGCACCGUGUAGAACGAAAGACCAUCGUACGAACAAAGGUAAGUUUACCAGUCUCACAAAUCGUCGUCAUAAAUACACAUUCGUUAACCGUUUAUUAAUAUAACCUUUGAGCUCAACGGUAAUUAAUUAGUAGUGGAAAUAAUCUCUGGUAGCAUCACAGAAAUGUAGCAGUGACAAUAAUAUUGUAUGUUGUAAUCGUACUGGGCAAUUAGUGAUACAAAACAACUGUUUUAUUCUGUGAAUAAAAGUAUAUGUUUUUGUCAAUGUACCUGUUACGCCCCUAGUCUAGGUGGGUAGGGACGCACAUAAGGUUGGAGGAGAGAGAGACAAAUCCCCGCCCUGGUUCCCAAGCCAAACAUCCAAACCAGUUGUGAGUAAAAAAAAGUGAUUUUAUUUAAGGACAAGAAGCAUAGCUCCAGGGUGAGCCCAGGCCAAAAUAAUAAACAAAACCAACUAAGUCCGACCAGAAAAGACUAACUAAACCCUAAGAAAGAAAAAAGAACAAACAAAUGCCAGAGCUAUCCCUCGCUCCCUGACCAAGAAAACAGGAGAAAACGAUUCCAAAAGAAAAGGCAGCUCACCCCUUCCGCUUCAGCCCACGAGUGCCUAAGCUCUCAGCUAAUGCACUAGGAGCGGCUUUUACAAUUCACACUCCCACAAAUACACAAGAUAAACACAGGCUGGGAAAACCAGGGUCAGGACUGCGAUGGCUCCACACUCUCUCUCUCUCUCUUUAAGUUAACACAAACUCGUCGGCAAGGACCGCGGCUUUAGACAGUAACCCAACCUUCUGCUCAUUAAGAUACACGACAAUGUUUUCAGGGAGACAUGUCUUGAACUCUUCCAGCAGGAUCAACUCCUUUAGCUGAGUUAAGUCCUCCGCGUGACUGGCAGCCACCCACUUGUCAAAUAAGACAGUUUUCUCACGUGCAAAUUCCACAAACGUUUGACUAUCAAGCUUGCGACAGGCACGAAACUUCUGUCGAUACGCCCCUGGGACAAGUUCAUAAGCCCGCAAAAUAGUGGAUUUGACAACCUCAUAAUCCAAGCUGUCCGCAACAGAAAGACUCGCACAGACCUCCUGCGCUCUUCCUAUUAAUUUGCAUUGCAGCAACAGACUCCAGACGUCCUUUGGCCAUUUUAAAGUGGUUGCGAUGCGCUCAAAAGCAGUGAAAUAUGAGUCAACCUCUCCUUCCCUAAAAGGAGGUACCAAAACAAUCUGUUUGCUAGCGUUAAACUGGUCUAUGGUGGGAGUGUCGGGGAGUGUACUUACAGGAACGGGAGCAGCGUCACUCGCUCGAGAACGAUCAAGCUCCAUAGCUCGAAUGCGGAGAUGCAUGAGCUCGACUUCC
ensembl:lncRNA